rnacentral:rRNA from 1 species
UACGGGGGGAGCAAGCGUUGUUCGGAUUUACUGGGCGUAAAGGGCGCGUAGGCGGCCACCGCAAGUCAAUUGUGAAAUCUCCGGGCUUAACUCGGAAAGGUCAACUGAUACUGCGGGGCUAGAGUGCGGAAGGGGCAACUGGAAUUCUCGGUGUAGCGGUGAAAUGCGUAGAUAUCGAGAGGAACACCUGCGGCGAAGGCGGGUUGCUGGGCCGAUACUGACGCUGAGGAGCGAAAGCGUGGGGAGCGAACAGG